GACGAACGCUGGCGGCGUGCCUAAUACAUGCAAGUAGAACGCAGUUGCGAACGGGUGAGUAACGCGUAGGUAACUGCCUGGUAGCGGGGGCUAACUAUUGGAAACGAUAGCUAAUACCGCAUACUACCAGAUGGACCUGCGUUGUAUUAGCUAGUUGGUGGGGUUACGGCUCACCAAGGCAACGAUACAUAGCCGACCUGAGAGGGUGAUGGGCCACACUGGGACGGAGACACGGCCCGGACUCCUAGGGGAGGCAGCAGUAGGGAGUCUUCGGGAAUGGACCGAAGUCGGGCCGAGCAACGCCGCGUGAGUGAAGAAGGGUUUCGGAUCGUAGAGCUCUGUUAUAAGAGAAGCGGUAUCUUACCAGAAAGGGACGGCUAACUACGUGCCAGCAGCCGCGGUAAUUC
rnacentral:rRNA from 1 species